rnacentral:rRNA from 1 species
AUACGGAGGGUGCAAGCGUUACUCGGAAUCACUGGGCGUAAAGCGCGCGCAGGCGGUCUUUUAAGUCGGAUGUGAAAGCCUACAGCUCAACUGUAGAACUGCAUCCAAAACUAUUAGACUAGAGUCUGGGAGGGGAAGAUGGAAUUAGUUGUGUAGGGGUAAAAUCCGUAGAGAUAACUAGGAAUACCAAAAGCGAAGGCGAUCUUCUGGAACAGUACUGACGCUGAGGCGCGAAAGCGUGGGGAGCAAACAGGAUUAGAAACCCGAGUAGUCC